rfam:Drosophila virilis strain TSC#15010-1051.87 Ctg01_14442, whole genome shotgun sequence.
CUCAAUUACCGUGACAUAGUCGUACGGUGAAUGUUGUGUAUGGAGUCCAAUGUUAACUGUAAGACUGUGUCUCGGUGGUUGUU